rnacentral:rRNA from 1 species
AGUGAACGCUGGCGGCAGGCCUAACACAUGCAAGUCGAACGGCAGCGCGGGGGCAACCCUGGCGGCGAGCGGCGGACGGGUGAGGAAUUCGUCGGAAUCUGCCUUUUUGUGGGGGAUAACGUAGGGAAACUUACGCUAAUACCGCAUACGUCCUACGGGAGAAAGUGGGGGACCGCAAGGCCUCACGCAGAAAGAUGAGCCGACGACCGAUUAGCUAGUUGGUGGGGUAAAGGCCCACCAAGGCGACGAUCGGUAGCUGGUCUGAGAGGAUGAUCAGCCACACUGGGACUGAGACACGGCCCAGACUCCUACGGGAGGCAGCAGUGGGGAAUAUUGGACAAUGGGCGCAAGCCUGAUCCAGCCAUGCCGCGUGUGUGAAGAAGGCCUUCGGGUUGUAAAGCACUUUUGUCCGGAAAGAAAUCCCUGGAGCUAAUACCUUCGGGGGAUGACGGUACCGGAAGAAUAAGCACCGGCUAACUUCGUG